rnacentral:rRNA from 1 species
GUUCCCUGACCGGGAACAAGGAGCUGGUAUCAGGCACUUAACAUUUAGCCCACGACACCUUGCUUAGCCACACCCUCAAGGGAACUCAGCAGUGAUAAACAUUAAGCCAUAAGUGAAAACUUGACUUAGUUAAAGUUAAGAGGGCCGGUAAAACUCGUGCCAGCCACCGCGGUUAAACGAGAGGCCCAAGUUGAUAAACAUCGGCGUAAAGCGUGGUUAAAGAAUAAGUACACUAAGACCGAAUACUUUUAGUGCUGUUAUACGUAUUCAAGAGUUAGAAGUCCAACUACGAAAGUGGUCUUAAUCAAAUAUUGAACCCACGAAAGCUAUGAUACAAACUGGGAUUAGAUACCCCACUAUGCUUAGCCGUAAACAUUGAUAGUCCCCUACACCUACUAUCCGCCCGGGUACUACGAGCGUCAGCUUAAAACCCAAAGGACUUGGCGG